CAGCUGACGAGUCCCAAAUAGGACGAAACGCGCGUCCUGGAU
rfam:Schistosoma rodhaini strain Burundi genome assembly, scaffold: SROB_scaffold0019045